UGGAAUGGUGCCUGCCUUAAUAGAUUGGCAUUGAGGCUUGCAUGGAAAAAGCCAGAGAUAUGGAUUGGUAUUAAGCUAUGGCGGCAGACACCUGAUGUUAAAACAGUGCUGCCAUUAUGAGGAUCCAAGCCAGCAGGGCCCAUGCAAGGAUUUUUGACUGCUAAAAAAUCCACUUUCCCAGUCCCUCUGUGUCAUUGUCCCCUUUCUCCAGCCUGUCAUUGUCCCUCUUCUCAGCCUCUGUGUCAUUGUUCCCUUUUCCAGCCCCUG